AUGAUGGCAUCUCUAUUCGCUGCAGCACCUGAAGGUUCUGCCAUGCCAAAAACGAAAAAGCGUGUCAGAUGCAAAAACAGUGCAGCUGCUACCUCAAGAAUAACAAGAUCUAGAGCUACCAGAACAACUGAGUCAUUUGAAGCUACAAACCAUCAAGAACAGUCUGCACCAAACCCAACAAACACAUCACCUCACCUAACUUCUAAGGAUAGAUACUCGCCUGAUCCUGAUUCAGGGGUACAAGAUGCAUUAGCAUGCUCCACUGGUCCAACUGAUCGACAUCCGUCAAGGAGAUGUCGUGGACGUAGACCAACCAUGGGGCAUGGGCUUCAGGAGUAUGCAAGCAGAAAUGGAGGGAGGAAAAUGCAUAUUGAUUUUACAGCGGGGAAACUUAACUUUGAGAUGGAUAAGGAUGACAAGGUUGGGAAUGAUGUAUGCACAAAAGUAAUCCAGAAGGGUGUUUGA
rnacentral:rRNA from 1 species